CGGACGGGUGAGUAAUGUCUGGGAAACUGCCUGAUGGAGGGGGAUAACUACUGGAAACGGUAGCUAAUACCGCAUAACGUCGCAAGACCAAAGAGGGGGACCUUCGGGCCUCUUGCCAUCGGAUGUGCCCAGAUGGGAUUAGCUAGUAGGUGGGGUAAAGGCUCACCUAGGCGACGAUCCCUAGCUGGCCUGAGAGGAUGACCAGCCACACUGGAACUGAGACACGGUCCAG
rnacentral:rRNA from 1 species